GGCUACGUUGGGAAGGGAUAACCGCUGAAAGCAUCUAAGCGGGAAGCCUGCUUCAAGAUGAGAUUUCCUUGUCCCUUGAGGGUGUGAGGCUCCCAGCAGACCACUGGGUGGAUAGGCCGGAUGUGGAAGCGAGGACGAAAGACUCGUGGAGCUGACCGGUACUAAUAGCCGAUGACUUGAUACA
rnacentral:rRNA from 1 species